UAUGAAUUUAUUAUUUCUUUGUGGUGAGAACAUUCAAAAGCCUCUCUUCUAGCUAUUUUCUAGCACACAAUUACCUUACUGUUAACCAUAGUCACCCUACUGUGCAAUAGAACACCAGAACUCAUUCCUCCUAUCUAAUUGUAACUUUGUACCUAUGUGAGCCACUUCCCUUCCUUCUUU